CAGGCCUAACACAUGCAAGUCGAGCGGGCACUUUCGGGUGUCAGCGGCGGACGGGUGAGUAACGCGUGGGAACGUGCCUUCUGGUUCGGAAUAACUCAGGGAAACUUGAGCUAAUACCGGAUACGCCCUUUUGGGGAAAGGUUUACUGCCGGAAGAUCGGCCCGCGUCUGAUUAGCUAGUUGGUGGGGUAACGGCCCACCAAGGCGACGAUCAGUAGCUGGUCUGAGAGGAUGAUCAGCCACACUGGGACUGAGACACGGCCCAGACUCCUACGGGAGGCAGCAGUGGGGAAUAUUGGACAAUGGGCGCAAGCCUGAUCCAGCCAUGCCGCGUGAGUGAUGAAGGCCUUAGGGUUGUAAAGCUCUUUUAUCCGGGACGAUAAUGACGGUACCGGAGGAAUAAGCCCCGGCUAACUUCGUGCCAGCAGCCGCGGUAAU
rnacentral:rRNA from 1 species